UGAAGUGCUGUGGGGAUCUCCCCCAUAGUUUUUGCCUUCAAAAAAAAAAUGAGAUAAUUUUAUGAUGUUCGAUCGACAUUUUCCAUGAACCGAUUUUGAAAUGGGCCUGUUAUGAUUACAUUCACAGAUCUGGACUCUUCAAAACUGUCAUGUGUGCAACACCAUUGCAUUGGACACGCAUCAGGAUGGGCUUCUCUGUGUUGAUUUCAUAGCUGGUGCCGAUCGUCAGCAUCUUAUCACUGGCUCAAAGGAUCAGACUGCGCUGGUUUCACAUGUUUUGUUGUAGCAUCCAUUCAUGAUUUUCAUCUGCUAGCUGUUUCCAUGGUUAAUACCAUUGCAAUGCAUCUGGCUUUUUAUCAACUAGAUCUGGGACCUGGAGAUACAGAGGCGCAGGGAAUACCUGCAAGGGCAUAGAGACCAUGUUAGUGUUGUCCACUAUCACUCAGCUCAUCAUAAACUAAUUACAUGUUCACUUGAUGGGACUAUUAGGAUUUGGGACGCCACUACUUACAGGCUUGAGAAUAUUAUUGCUCUUAACCUAGGAGCAGUUUCUGAUGUUGGAUAUAUAGAGGAUUUACAAAGGAUUGUUGUCGGGUGCUACCAAGGAAUAGCAAUGAUGGAGGUCAAUUUCCAUGAAGUCUCAAUUGCGCGCCAAGGACGAAUGCAGAUAAUGCCAUGAACAUGAAAUGGCAUUUGUUAUUACUACAAAUCGUUUCAGUUGCAAUGACAAAAUGCCGUGUACACAAACAGCUGGAUUUUUGAGCCGAGCGAAUGGAUUUGUUUCUUUCUAUUUCAUUUCUUGGAACUUGUAUGGUAAAGGAGUGUACGGUGAGCUAUUCGUAGAAUCCUAGUUGAGCCACAUCAGACAGAUUGAUGGAUUGGAAUUUAUGAA